GACGAACCGAGCGAACGUUAUUCGGAAUCACUGGGCUUAAAGGGCGCGUAGGCGGGCCAUCAAGUCAGGGGUGAAAGCCCCCAGCUCAACUGGGGAAGUGCCUUUGAUACUGGUGGUCUCGAGGGGGAUAGGGGCAUGCGGAACUUCCGGUGGAGCGGUGAAAUGCGUAGAUAUCGGAAGGAACACCGGUGGCGAAAGCGGCGUGCUGGAUCCCUUCUGACGCUGAGGCGCGAAAGCUAGGGGAGCAAACGGG
rnacentral:rRNA from 1 species